AAAAUUUUGGAAAACGCUUCACGAAUUUGCGUGUCAUCCUUGCGCAGGGGCCAUGCUAAUCUACAUAUUUUGGAUGUAUAUUUUUCAUAUGCGUUUUGUAUACAC